rnacentral:rRNA from 1 species
AUUGAACGCUGGCGGCAGGCUUAACACAUGCAAGUCGAGCGGAGAUGAGGUGCUUGCACCUUAUCUUAGCGGCGGACGGGUGAGUAAUGCUUAGGAAUCUGCCUAUUAGUGGGGGACAACAUUCCGAAAGGAAUGCUAAUACCGCAUACGCCCUACGGGGGAAAGCAGGGUAUCUUCGGACCUUGCGCUAAUAGAUGAGCCUAAGUCGGAUUAGCUAGUUGGUGGGGUAAAGGCCUACCAAGGCGACGAUCUGUAGCGGGUGUGAGAGGAUGCUCCGACAACCAGGAAAUGAGAAACGGCCGAGACUCCUACGGGAGGGAUCAGUGGGGAAUAUUGGACACUGAGCGGAAGCCUGAUGCAGCCAUGCCGAGUGUGUGAAGAAGGACUUAUGGUUGUAAAGCAGUUUAAGCGAGGAGGAGGCUACCUGGAUUAAUACUCUAGGAUAGUGGACGUUACUCGCAGAAUAAGCACCGGCUAACUCUGUGCCAGCAGCCGCGGUAACAC